AGCGAACGCUGGCGGCAGGCUUAACACAUGCAAGUCGAACGGGCUUCUUCGGAAGUCAGUGGCAGACGGGUGAGUAACACGUGGGAACGUGCCCUUCGGUUCGGAAUAACUCAGGGAAACUUGAGCUAAUACCGGAUACGCCCUUUUGGGGAAAGGUUUACUGCCGAAGGAUCGGCCCGCGUCUGAUUAGCUUGUUGGUGGGGUAACGGCCUACCAAGGCGACGAUCAGUAGCUGGUCUGAGAGGAUGAUCAGCCACACUGGGACUGAGACACGGCCCAGAGAGCGGAGGGAGGGAGCAGGGGAGACUAUUGGACAGGGGGCGCUAGCCGGCUCCAGCCAGUCCGGGGGAGUGAUUAAGGCCUUAGGGGUGAAAUGCUUUGUGGCACGGGACAAUAAGGACGGUCUAGGAAGAAUAAGCCGCGGCUAACUUCCUGCCAACAGCCGCGGUAAUAGAUCAAAGACCACCCGUCUCCC
rnacentral:rRNA from 1 species